rnacentral:rRNA from 1 species
AUUGAACGCUGGCGGCAUGCCUUACACAUGCAAGUCGAACGGUAACAGGUCUUCGGACGCUGACGAGCGGCGAACGGGUGAGUAAUACAUCGGAACGUGCCCAGUCGUGGGGGAUAACUACUCGAAAGAGUAGCUAAUACCGCAUACGAUCCGAGGAUGAAAGCGGGGGACCUUCGGGCCUCGCGCGAUUGGCACGGCCGAUGGGAGAUUAGGUAGUUGGUUGGAUAAAAGCUUACCAAGCCGACGAUCCGUAGCUGGUCUGAGAGGGCGACCAGCCGCACUGGGAAUGAGACACGGCCCAGACUCCUACGGGAGGCAGCAGUGGGGAAUUUUGGACAAUGGGCGAAAGCCUGAUCCAGCAAUGCCGCGUGCAGGAUGAAGGCCUUCGGGUUGUAAACUGCUUUUGUACGGAACGAAAAAGCUCCUUCUAAUACAGGGGGCCCAUGACGGUACCGUAAGAAUAAGCACCGGCUAACUACGUGCCAGCAGCCGCCGUAA